rnacentral:lncRNA from 1 species
CUAAUCAGCCUCCAAGCCUUGCCUGGAUGGAAUGGAUCAGGGAGGGCUGGCGACCUGUUCUGUCACUGUAUUCUUUUUUUUAAGACGGAGUUUCGCUCUUGUUGCCCAAGCUGGAGUGCAGUGGCUCGAUCUCGGAUCACUGCAACCUCCACUACCCUCCUGCCUCAGCCUCCCGAGUAGCUGGGAUUACAGAGGUGAGGGUCUCACUACAUUGUCCAGCCUAGUCUUGAACUCCUGGCCUCAAGAACCGUCUCACCUUGGACUCCUAAAACUGCUGGGAUUACAGAUGAAGAGGCUCUCCAUUCCACAUUCCCCACUGAUUUGAAGAGAUUCUCCAUGUUGGUCAGGCUGGUCUCGAACUCCUGACCUCAGGUGAUCCACCUGCCUCGGCCUCCCAAAGUGCUGGGAUUACAGACGUGAGCCACCGUGCCAGGCCCAUAUCCCCCUCCUGAUAAGACCCUCAGCUGCCAAUUUCUUGGAUUCUGUCUUUGGUAAGCAAUCCAUUUAGAAGGGGAGAUUUUAAACAUUAACAAG